UUUUAUUAUGAUUUGUUUUGCCCAGUAGUUUCAAAGAAUAGAGACGACCAUCUCUACAGGUAUAAGAAUUUGUAAGAGGACCAAGCCAUGAGGUUCUUGUCAUUUGUGAAAUUGGACAUGAGCUGCUUGUAGAAGGUAAAUGCAGGGAUGGAGCAUGAAAACCUAUCCUAUUUCUAAGCCUUAACGUCCUAGCAGGUGUUAAUAAUAACAAUUCUUAAUAACUGCUUAUUAACAACAUGCAUUAAAACAAGCACAAUGAAUAAAUAUGAUUAUUUUAUUGCUAUUUUAGUGGAAUGUUUCCCAGAGGAGAGAAGACAAUUUAACUGCACAGAGACUGGAACUGGUAAGGGUCUCUCUGUUACUAUAUUAGAAACCAAAUUAUUAGUCUUCAUUAUCCUUUUUUGCUUAUUGGCCCUUGAUACACUCAGCCAUCGAAUGGUGUUCAACCUUGGACAAAAUUGAUUCUGCAAAUAAUGAAAUGUUAGUAAAAAUAGAAGAAUUAAAAAAAAAAAACUUGGUCCAUUCUUCAAAUUGUUGCAUUUCAUUAUAUGAUUAAAUUAAUGGUGUCUAGAACCUAAGACCAUAUAUCUAAAUAGUAUGUAGCCUUCCAAAAGAAAAAUGUUGACAUUUUAUCGGAAUGUUUUAGGUGUAUUAAAAAAGUGUGGUUAUCAUCAAAUGUUUAUCAGAAUUAGUUUAUGUAGACAGUAAAUGUCGGUGUAUAUAUUUUACUACCAGGCUCUGGAUCCUUAUGCUUGAAUAUCUGAGACAACAGCAUCAAACACAGCCAAAAUCCUGUACACAUAGGGAGCUGAGUCAAGAAAUUAAUGGGUUAAAGGAGAAAAGACUAAACUUCACUGCUGAAAUUUGAGACAACUGCAUCAAACACAGACAGAAUUAUAUAAACAUAGGGAGCUGAGUCAAGAGAUUCAUCGGUUGAAGGAGAAGAGACUAAACUUCACUGCUGAAAUUUGAGACAACUGCAUCAAACACAGCCAUAAUUAUAUACACAGAGGGAGCUCAGUCAAGAGAUUUGUGGAUUGAAAGAGAAGAGGUUUAACUGGACUGCUCAUUGAAGAAAACUAGAUUAUGGCUCAAGAUUAAGCAAGAAGGCUUUUGGUCGCACCUCUCAUCAAAGUCAUCUUUUGGGAUUUACAUUCAACAUCUAGAUUUACAUUAUACUUCUUUAGAAAACCAUUGUGAAAAUGUAUUUUUGCUCAAUGAAAAAAAU
rnacentral:lncRNA from 1 species